AGUUUUAAGCAGAGGUCUAUUAUUUGUCAUUUUCUGUAGGUUGGUAACCUGGAGGAACCUUAUCCUGGUUUCAUGUGGGAUUGUUCAAGCUAUAAUUAUUUGAAGGUUUCUGUGUGGCUGGAGGAUCCAAGUCAUUCUCACUCAGAUAUGGGGCAGUUGAUGCUGGAUGUUGGCUCAUUCUCUUCCGUUCUCCACCUGAUCACUCAUCCUCUGCUCCUGGAACAUUCUCUCGUUGGAAACAGCUGCCACCCAGCCUUUGCGGCUCUGUCGUGAUGGAAGAGGACAGCCUUAUGAUAGUGGGAACUGUUUAUCUCCAUACCAUGGGUUAUCUCUUGGGCCAUCUAUGAGAAGCUCCAAAAUUGGUAGGUGAAGUUCUUGUCUCUAUAAACGCUGGUCAAUUUCUGUGUCAUUUGCUAGAGCUGAGCUUGCCCGUGA
rnacentral:lncRNA from 1 species